rnacentral:rRNA from 1 species
CCUGGCUCAGAUUGAACGCUGGCGGCAGGCUUAACACAUGCAAGUCGAGCGGGGAAAGGUAGCUUGCUACCUGACCUAGCGGCGGACGGGUGAGUAAUGCUUAGGAAUCUGCCUAUUAGUGGGGGACAACAUUCCGAAAGGAAUGCUAAUACCGCAUACGCCCUACGGGGGAAAGCAGGGGAUCUUCGGACCUUGCGCUAAUAGAUGAGCCUAAGUCAGAUUAGCUAGUUGGUGGGGUAAAGGCCUACCAAGGCGACGAUCUGUAGCGGGUCUGAGAGGAUGAUCCGCCACACUGGGACUGAGACACGGCCCAGACUCCUACGGGAGGCAGCAGUGGGGAAUAUUGGACAAUGGGCGAAAGCCUGAUCCAGCCAUGCCGCGUGUGUGAAGAAGGCCUUUUGGUUGUAAAGCACUUUAAGCGAGGAGGAGGCUACUUGGAUUAAUACUCUAGGAUAGUGGACGUUACUCGCAGAAUAAGCACCGGCUAACUCUGUGCCAGCAGCCGCGGUAAUACAGAGGGUGCGAGCGUUAAUCGGAUUUACUGGGCGUAAAGCGUGCGUAGGCGGCUUCUUAAGUCGGAUGUGAAAUCCC